rnacentral:rRNA from 1 species
AUUGAACGCUAGCGGGAUGCCUUACACAUGCAAGUCGAACGGCAGCGCGGACUUCGGUCUGGCGGCGAGUGGCGAACGGGUGAGUAAUGUAUCGGAACGUGCCCAGUAGCGGGGGACAACCACUCGAAAGAGUGGCUAAUACCGCAUACGCCCUACGGGGAAAGGGGGGAGUCGCAAGACCUCUCACUAUUGGAGCGGCCGAUAUCGGAUUAGCUAGUUGGUGGGGUAAAGGCCUACCAAGGCGACGAUCCGUAGCUGGUUUGAGAGGACGACCAGCCACACUGGGACUGAGACACGGCCCAGACUCCUACGGGAGGCAGCAGUGGGGAAUUUUGGACAAUGGGGGAAACCCUGAUCCAGCCAUUCCGCGUGUGCGAUGAAGGCCUCGGUUGUAAGCACUUUGGCAGGAAGAAAUCGUGUGGGUUAAUAACCCUGCGCGGAGUGACGGUACC